CACGUGUUGUGCCUAUAAAAGGGCACGCUUCCUUGUCUUCAACUCACCGGUCACUCCUCCGCCGUUGCGCCCGUCUCCUAAAUUAUGGCAGCACCCACACCCACUUCGCCGCCGGUCUCUGCCUGCAUGCCCCACCGCCGUCCCCCAAAUCUCCUCCAGCCACCCCCAUCUCGUCUCUGCAUGGCCGGUCUGAUGGUGCAUGGGAACCAUCAGAGAUGGCUUACAUGAACCGCACAUGGAGGGUUCGACCGAGGUGACGGUCGUCACGUCUAACCACAAUAUCACAGCAUGGCGCCGCCGUUUUCCGGGCCAGAAGCGUGUGUUCCCACACUGCUUCCGUGAUGGCCACCUCGGCCGUCGAGGAGGACUGCCGUAGCCCGUGUAAAGAUGAGAAAUGAAAGUGUUUGCACGAAUCUUCUUUCUUUCAUUGAUCUGAGAUAUUUAUACAAGGAUUUGAGACGCGAGUUGUAAAAGGCGUCUGUACAAAAAGGCGUCCGUACGACGCUUAGACUAAUAACGGACUAAUCACGUCCUAAUGACGUUUCGAUAAUUUAGUCGGUUCGUAACACUCCCCCUUGUACAACGUCAUCUUGAGUAAUCCAUUAUUGAAAGC
rnacentral:lncRNA from 1 species